rnacentral:rRNA from 1 species
GAUUCGAUCUUGUCGAUUGAACGCUGGCGGGAUACUUACGCUACCGUCGAACGGCAGCACGGACUUCGGUCUGGUGGCGAGUGGCGAACAGGUGAGUAAUGUAUCGGAACGUGCCUAGUAGCGGGGAUAAGCAUGCGCGAAAGCGUAAUACCGCCACGCCCUUCGGGGAAGCGGGGACCUUCGGGCCUCGCACUAUUAGAGCGGCCGAUAUCGGAUGUGGAUUGGUGGAGUAACAGCUUGCGAGCGGCGAUCCGCAGCUGGUUUGAGAGGACGACCUACACUGGGUUGGAACUGGCGAACUCUACGGGAGGCAGCGGUAAAUUUUGGACAAUGGGAAACCUGAUCCAGCCAUCCCGCGUGUGCGAUGAGCUACUUUGGUUUAUAAGCACUUUUGGCAGGAAAAAGACAGCACGGGAUAAUACCGGCCGCAGCUGACGAUUGCCUGCAGGAAUAAAUGCCGGCUAACUACGUGCCAGCAGCCACUGAUAAUACGUAGGGGUACAAGCGUUAAUCAAUUACUGGGCGCUAAAGCGUGCGCAUGACGGUUCCCGGAAGAAAGAUGUGAAAUCCCGAAACGCUUUGGAACUGCAUUUUUAACUACGAAACUAGAGUGUGUCAGAGGGAGGUGGAAUUCGCGUGUAGCAGUGAAAUGCGUAGAUAUGGAGGGAACACCGAUGGCGAGAACAAUAUCAGGAUAACACUGACGCUCGCUUUUUAGCGAUAACGGGGAGCAAACAGGAUUAGAUACCCUGGUAGUCCGCUAAACGAUGUCAACUAGCUGUUGGGGCCUUCGGGCCUUGGUAGCCGCAGCUAACGCGUGAAGUUGACCGCACAGGGUACAGUCAUAGAUUAAAACUCAAAGGAAUUGACGGGGACCCGCACAAGCGGUGGACUGAUGUGGUUAAUUCGAUGCAACGCGAAAAACCUUACCUACCCCACUUGACAUGUCUGGAAUCCCGAAGGGAAUUUGGGAGUACUCGCAGAGAACCGGAACACAGGUGCUGCAUGGCUGUCGUCGACUCGUGUCGUGAUCAUUGGAUUCAGAUCCGCAACAGGCACAACCUUGCUAUUAUUAAUUCACUGCGAAGGGCGCUCUCGUGAAUUCCUGGUGAUGAAACCGGAAGGUGGGGAUGACGUCAAAGUCCUCGUAGCCCUUAUGGUGCCAGGGCUUCACGUCAUACAAUGGUCAGGACAGAGGAUUCGCCAACCCGCGAGGAGCCAAUCCCGAGAAACCCGAUCGUAGUCGGAUCUCUUGAUCUGCAACUCGACUGCAUGAAGUCGAAUCGCUGAUAAUCGCGGAUCAGCAUGUCGCGGUGAAUACGUUCCCGGGUCUUAUGCCCGCACCGCCCGUCACACGCGGAAUUGAGUUUUACCAAGUAGUUAGCUAACCGUAAGGAGGCGAUUACGUGAUAAAGUUCAUGACUGGGGUGAAGUCUACAAGGUAA